GAAAGAUUUUUGGAGCCAGCUUGUCGGCUUCGGAAUUUCAGCGCCUGCCAGGAAACCAAUGUACGUUUGUCCAUCUUUAAGGCUUUAAACUGAGAGGGACCACUGAGGACAGCAUGCCAAAUUAUCUUCCAAAAUCUCUGUCCUAAGGAACACCUAGGAAGUAACUAUUCAGGGGAACUGUUUUCUUCCUGGAUUCGGAGCGAAACUGGGAAGUCAUCGGAGAAAGCUUUGCCUGCAACAGUUGUGGUAUAAAACAAGGAAGCACACAUCUAUCUACUCCUUGAAGAAUCCUGACUCUUAAGGUGUCAAUUUGGAGGCAGUGGACAGAAGCACAUGAGGAUGGCCAUGCUCAGUUUAGCCACUCUGGCACUGAUGUGACGGAGUCUGUCCAGCUGGAGGAAGGGAAGGAGGCUGGGCAAUGUUACUAAAGAACCAUCACUUUUGCAAGAGAAAUUGAAAGCGAAACAAGCUAAGAUGUCAGUUUGGCACUCACUCUCACUGGGCCCAGCCUGGAGCAAGAACAUCUUUAGGUGACAUAACAAAGUCCUAAGGGUUUUUACUAUGUUAGGAAUAAAUGCUUUUGAUUACUGAUUAAAAUUUGCCUCACUAGCACCAACCUGAACCUUUCAGGAAGUGGGUUGUGACAAGUCCUAAUUAGUGUGAAAUUAUAGUUCUGAGUAAUGUUACAGCCAUGAUCCACAUGGACCUAUAAUACUGUGAAUCUCGAGGUAAGGAGAUUCACCCAGGCUCUUGUGAUUAUGUGGACUUGCACUCAAAUAUUGUUUCCCCAUCUCACUCCCAAACCCUGAAAAGCACUUUCCGCUCCAGUGAAAAGGCAUUAUCAAAUGGAAGAGACUUUGCAAGGAUUUCCCCUCCUUGUUUCCGAGACGUCAGCACAAGGCACAAUCUAAUGAAAGUGCUAUUAGAUGGUCUCCUGGAGAUCAUCUAUCCUGGAAACUGUCUAUCCACACAUCUCUGCCUAGGAGAGGAGAUCCCUGAUAAGGACACAGUGCCAGGUUGUAUCUCUUGGAGGUCCCCACCCCACCCCCGAUCUUAGGGAAAGUCUACUAUUUAAAGCUAUCACUGAACCCAGCAACAUAGUCUUCUGGCCUCAGGAAAAAGGCAAGAGAUAGGCUUUCACCUUUGGAAAUGCAACGUGAGCUCACCACUUUCACGUACUACCUGGGUAGUCUCCACACGUUAGUUGACCAUAAGUAACUUCCUGAAGAAGACUCUUGAGAGUCCCUUGGACUGCAAGGAGGUCCAGCCAGUCCAUCCUAAAGGAGAUCAGUCCUGGAUGUUCAUUGGAAGGACUGAUGCUAAAGCUGAAACUCCAAUACUUUGACCACCUCAUGCGAAGAGUUGACUCAUUGGAAAAGACCCUGAUGCUGGGAGGGCUUGGGGGCAGGAGGAGAGGGGAAAACAGAGGAUGAGAUGGCUGAUGGCAUCACUGACUCGAUGGACAGGAGUUUGGGUGAACUCCGGGAGUUGGUGAUGGACAAGGAGGCCUGGCGUGCUACUAUUCAUGGGGUCGCAAAGAGUCGGACAUGACUGAGUGACUGAACUGAACUGAACUGAACUUCCUGAACAAAAAUCUUUUUCCCUCCCAAGCAUCCAAAACUGGUGUCGGGUCUCUGCAUAAUCAUAGCUCAAAGCAUGUUGUCCAUUUCCUGAUAAGCCUAGGACAAAAUGAACAUAAAAUAUGGUGCUAUUUAAGGCUCCUUGUCUCACAGAUCAAAAAAUAGGGCCAUCACAGAAUGCCCCUGAAAGAGAAAAAUCUUGAAUCAUCCACCAGAGAUCUACAAGGCAGCUGUACCCCAAAGAGCCUGUGAGUCUCAGAGUCAAGCUGCAUUCUCUGUUCAGCCUCAGAGGAAGAGCCUUGAGCACACGCCGCUGGUCUGCCAGUCGAAGAGAUGUGGAGCUGGUGUUUGGAUUGAGUCCCUAAGCAAAGUGCCAGAAGCCCAGUUCACCUGACCGUCAGCCAUGUGGAGCCGCUGCCAGCCCUGGGUGUCUGCAGCAGCCCGAUGUAGCCGCCACGGACCCAGAGCAGCAGGCAGUGUGGAUGAUUGACAGAGUCAAGUGCCCCAGAGUUCCAUGACAGACCCAUGGAAAACCAAAGUCAG
ensembl:lncRNA